GGCAAUUCUCUCGGUUCCACUUGUACAGUGUGGAAGCUUUGUUCUUUCCCUCUUUGCAAUACAUCUUGCUGCUCCUCUCUUUGGGUCCACGCUGCUUUUAUGAGCUGUAACACUCACUGUGAAGGUCUGCAGUUUCACUCCUGAAGCCAGCGAGACUAGGAAUCCACUGGCAGGAAUGAACAACUCGUGAGGCGCCACCUUUAUGAACUGUUCAACACUCACCACAAAGGUCUGCAGCUGCAGUCCUGAAGCCAGCGAGACCACGAACCCACCAGGAGGAAAAAACACCUCCGGAUGCGCCGCCUUUAAGAGCUGUUACACUGACUGCGGAGGUCUGCGGCUUCACUCCUGAAGUGAGCGAGACCACAAACCCACCAGAAGGAAGAAACUCCGGACACGUCCUAACAUCAGAAGGAACAAACUCUGGGCACACUAUCUUUAAGAACUGUAACACUCACCACGAAGGUCCGUGGCUUCAUUCUUGAAGUCAGUGAGACCAAGAACCCACUAAUUGCGGACAUAGUACGGUUUGAAAGUGAAUGAGUGUGUGUGUGUGUGUGUGUGUGUGUGUGUAUAGUAUUUGGUUAAAUAUCUUUAUGUAAAGAAUGUGGCAUUUGGUGUGAACUUUUAAAGAGCUCUUGAGAUCACACUAUAUACAAAAAGAAAUUAGACUAAUGAUUUGAGUUAGACUAUAUCCUUAAUUCAAACAAAUUUAGAAAAAAUUGAAACCUUUUUAUACAUAGACAUAACCUAUCUAUUUUGACUAUUGGUCAAUUAAGAUUUUUAAAUUAUCUUUUUAAAUCCAAUAUAUGGUGUUUAUUUUCUUUUAACUUAACAUACAUCCGGAUUUAUUGUAUUGCCUUUUUAUGCUAACAUGUUGCAGAAAUGCAAACAUUUCUGUUAUGGUGAGUUCGUUUAUACGCUUUUGUGUUUAUCUCAAGGAAGUCGGAAAUGUCUUAAUCUUUUAGACAGUGAAGUUUAUGUCCUGUCACAAAGACACAAAUGCAAACUAAAUGUUAAGUGUUUUAUUUAAAUUUUGUCAAAUUGCCGUAAUAAUUCAAAGAACUUAACAAAAUUUCAUGGGAAUUUUCAAAAUUUCUCUGGGGAAGGUUUUAGUACAAGAAUUACAUUUUUAUUUAUUAUAAGAAUAAACUUUAAUUUUAAAUGCUUGUUAUGGGCUCUAAGUAAACUUAGUAUACUCUAUCUUUUACAAUUUGAAAGGAUUUAAACAGUAACUUGGUAAACUUAUUUUGGCCUUUUCUCAAAAUGGUGAUAGAACUUGCAAUUUUCUAUAUACUCUUGCCUAUUGCCAAUUAGGGAAAGGAAAAGAGAAAAGGAAUUACUAAAGAGAUGAUGGAAUCUUUUAAUAAUUUGAACAAAAAUUUUCAGAAUUAAAAUUUAUCUAGCUUUCCAAAAGUGUAUUAUUUGUGGGCUAUCCCCUAAAUCCAAAGAUUUUAAAGUAGAAACAAUAAGAAAAUAAGAUACCACUUAACACUUUCAAUUUGUCACCAAACUGCCAGAGAUUAAUAUGAUUAAAAGAGAAAUAGAAGUAAAACUCAAGUAGAAUUUUGCUAUGACUGUAUUCCUGAAAAAUUAGAGAAUUGAAAAAUAUUUGUAUUUAACUUAAAUUGAAUAUAGAUUUUUUUUUUACUUUUUGCAAAUAAUAUAAACUUUAAUGAUGAUAUUCCAUUAUAUGUCAGACACUGGUUAAGUAUUUACACAACAAAUUAACUUUUCAGACUCACUUUAUAGUAUCCACCACAUGGCUGUGUUCUAUCCAAGAGAGUGUGAGUUGAUUAUGUACACCACUGUCACGCCCUGCAUAUAAAUACCUUCCUCCUCUUUUGACUAGACAGAGACAAAUACAGUAUCUUGGAAACUAUUUGUUGAAGACGGUCAUCCCUCCAGAUAGAACAAAUGUGGUCACUGACUCAGGUCUUGAACAGAGCUUUUGUUAAUCAGGCACAUCCAUUUCGGAAGGAGUUGGAAAUGAGCUUUUCUUAUAAAUAAGUAAGAACAGAUAUUAACAUAUCAUAAAAUUUGGAGUUUGUGUAUUUUGAAUUGUUUUGAACUAAAAUGAAGGCUAAGUAAAAUAUUAAUAAUUUCAGAAUUAAGUGUAAAACAAUGAGGAAAUGAACAUAUUUUUAAACAUUGUAAGAACAAUUAAAACAAUUUAUUAGCAAAAUCCAAUGGUAAUUAAUAAUACUAGAUAACUUGGAAGUAUAGUACAAGAGAAACACCAGAAGUAGUAGUCAAUAUCAAUAGGUUUUCGUUUCUAUCUCAAUUACUAUGCAAUUUUUUGUAAGUUACUUAAGUUUUUUGUAAGUUACUUAAGUUACCAACUCCCAGUUUUCUAUAUGAUAAGAGUAAUAAGACUUUUAAAUUUGAUUCCAAUGAGAAUGGAAUGACAUAGCAUGUAUCUAAUCAAUUGCAGUGUACAACAGAAAAAUAGUUAUUAGAUAAAUUUUAGUUCCCCUUUAAAUAAGGUAAAGUUUUUUUUAGUAUCACAGCCUAUGUAAGACUGUAUCUCUCUACUGACUUUAACUUCAUUUGUUAACAUAAAAAUUCAGUCUUAAUUUAUUUUAGAAACAAUUAUGUACUGUUACAUUCUAUAAUUAUAUUUUAGAAUUUAUACUCUGACUGUUUUUAUACUGAUGAAUGCCCAUGACAUUUUCUGAAGAUGAUUACUUCAGUUUUACUUUUCUUAUGAUCAUUUUAAUUUUAAAACAGUGAUAAAAGUAAUAGCUAAUGUAGUUACAGGUAUUAACAUAAUACAUUUAUUAUCCUAUUUAAUCCUCACAACAACCCAAGCAAGUAAGUGUCAUUAUUCUAAUUUUAUAGAACAAUUAACUAAGAUUUACGGAGACAAAGUAAUUUAUGUUAUAUCCACUCAAUUAGUAAGUGAUAGAGCUGUCUAGAAUCAUAUUACUUUCCACCAUCUUUUUCAAUAAAGUCAUAAGUUUAAAUAAAAAUCCAGGGACUACUACAUGAGUAGGUAUGUGUGGUAAUUCAUUUUUAAGGGUAAAUGACUGUUGGGUAAAAUGCAUGUAGACACAAAUAAUUGGAUGCAUUAAUAUGACACAAUUAUUCUGAAAUGUGACUGAAGCCUACAGUUUAGACAUGGCAAGGAAAGAGAACCUUACAAAGGCCCUAAGAUGGAAACAGCUUUCAUUGUGCU
rnacentral:lncRNA from 1 species